rnacentral:rRNA from 1 species
UUAGAGUUUGAUCCUGGCUCAGGAUGAACGCUAGCGGGAGGCUUAACACAUGCAAGCCGAGGGGUAUAGUUCUUUCGGGAACUAGAGACCGGCGCACGGGUGCGUAACGCGUAUGCAACUUGCCCUACUGAAAAGGAUAGCCCUUCGAAAGGAGGAUUAAUACUUUAUAACAGAUUUAAUGGCAUCAUUAGAUUUUGAAAGAUUUAUCGCAGUAGGAUAGGCAUGCGUAAGAUUAGUUAGUUGGUGAGGUAACGGCUCACCAAGACGAUGAUCUUUAGGGGGCCUGAGAGGGUGAACCCCCACACUGGUACUGAGACACGGACCAGACUCCUACGGGAGGCAGCAGUGAGGAAUAUUGGACAAUGGGUGGAAGCCUGAUCCAGCCAUCCCGCGUGUAGGAUGACGGCCUUAUGGGUUGUAAACUACUUUUAUCUGGGGAUAAACCUACUUACGUGUAGGUAGCUGAAGGUACCAGAAGAAUAAGCACCGGCUAACUCCGUGCCAGCAGCCGCGGUAAUACGGAGGGUGCAAGCGUUAUCCGGAUUUAUUGGGUUUAAAGGGUCCGUAGGCGGAUUAAUCAGUCAGUGGUGAAAUCUCAUAGCUUAACUAUGAAACUGCCAUUGAUACUGUUAGUCUUGAGUGAUGUUGAAGUUGCUGGAAUGUGUAGUGUAGCGGUGAAAUGCUUAGAUAUUACGCAGAACACCAAUUGCGAAGGCAGGUGACUAAACAUUAACUGACGCUGAUGGACGAAAGCGUGGGGAGAGAACAGGAUUAGAUACCCUGGUAGUCCAUGCCGUA